AAAUCAAGACAACACAACCAAAUCAAUUAGAAAAAUAUAACAGUUGUCUGUUUCUUGUCUCAACUUCUAUGCAGUUAUCUUUUAUGUAUAUGUUGUUCUUUUUACCUUUUUUAGCAACAAAGGCCACCUACAGGCUCGAGAAGGUUCUAAUGAACAAGCGUGUUCUCGGUGACGUAAAGAAGCUGAGCCCUCUCUACCAAACAUCUGCCUUGGAAGGGUUUCACAGCCUGAUUCUACGAUUUGCACCAAAACAUGUCGUCUUCUCAUACUUGGGAAUGCUCUGCAGGCUAUACCUGUCAGCACUGCACUUCAAUGAACAUUCAGUGCGCUCACAGGCAAGGACUGCAGCAGGAGAACUGCACUUCAAACUAAAAUUUCCAAAGUGUAAGAGAGGGGAGCAUGUCGUAUCUGUGGUGAAGACCAACUAUACUACUGAAUAUGUCACUGAGCUCACCAACCUCCUCUUUAAUGAGGUCAUUCGUGACCCUGAACCUUUCGUAGCUGCCCUGAAGGAAGUAGCUGUUCCAGGGUUCCUCUGCUCCCAGUAUGAGCGACCUGACAAGGCAGAUGCAGUUGCCAGCCAAAUUUCCUGGUUCAGCUGUCCAGAUCCAGCUCCACAGCCCUGAUGACACAAACACCUGCUGAGAGUGAGAGGAGGGGAGAGGACACCAACUAAAGAACCCAGAACUAUGAGGAACGGAGGAAGUCAAGGUACUCCUGGUGGAUACGGACAACAACGCAGGAAGGUAUCACUACCCGGUUGUGCUUUCCCAGGUAUCCCCAGCACCAGGAAAUGAAGGAUGCCAGCACAUCAUGAUCCCAAGAAGAUGAAAGAUGGAUCAACCUGCAGCGUGUCUGAAAUCUAUUUGGCUGUAUGGAUUGGCCUGGACAUUUGUUUUUUUUUUUCUUUCUCUGUUUUAACUUCCAUGAAUUAUCCACAACCAUACAUUUGUAAUUUUGACUAAUCAGUUGUUGUGAAGCGUUAUCACAAAAUGUUCAAUUUGUUAGAUUUUUAUACAUGUUGUAUAUCCUAGUUCUCUAUUGUUCUCUGAGGCUGGGACUAGUUCAUGCAUUUGUUACCUCCAGGUUGGAUUAUUGUAAUUAUUGUAAUUCUCUCUCUGGAUGGAUAGGCCGGG